rnacentral:misc_RNA from 1 species
AUUUUGGAUUAACUUGUUCCCAACCAGACUACCCUAAGUGUAUAAAAGUACUCUACCCUUUAAAAGCGCUUCUAUUUUUCCCUCUCGCUCCACACAUGACACAACCCAUAUACGCGCGAGUGGGGCAACCUUCGCGCCUUAUGUCUCCUCAUUUGCUUCCCACAGCACCAGCUGAACUUCAUCUUCCAUUGUAGCUUACAAAAAGAAACACAUCUUUGUCUAAUUGAAAGAAGUAUGAUAACUUGAUAAUAUAAACAAGUAUAGUCUAAUGAAUGAAUAUCCUCGUUCAGCUAA